GACGAGCGCUGGCGGCGUGCUUAACACAUGCAAGUCGAACGAUGAAGCCUAGCUUGCUAGGUGGAUUAGUGGCGAACGGGUGAGUAAUACGUGAGUAACCUACCUUUAACUCUGGGAUAAGCCUGGGAAACUGGGUCUAAUACCGGAUACGACCAAUCUCCGCAUGGGGUGUUGGUGGAAAGCGUUAUGUAGUGGUUAUAGAUGGGCUCACGGCCUAUCAGCUUGUUGGUGAGGUAACGGCUCACCAAGGCGACGACGGGUAGCCGGCCUGAGAGGGUGACCGGCCACACUGGGACUGAGACACGGCCCAGACUCCUACGGGAGGCAGCAGUGGGGAAUAUUGCACAAUGGGCGCAGGCCUGAUGCAGCGACGCCGCGUGAGGGAUGACGGCCUUCGGGUUGUAAACCUCUGUUAGCAGGGAAGAAGAGAAAUUGACGGUACCUGCAGAGAAAGCGCCGGCUAACUACGUGCCAGCAGCCGCGGUAAUACGUAGGGCGCGAGCGUUGUCCGGAAUUAUUGGGCGUAAAGAGCUUGUGGCGGUUUGUCGCGUCUGCUGUGAAGGCCGGGGCUUAACCCCGUGUAUUGCAGUGGGUACGGGCAGACUAGAGUGCAGUAGGGGAGACUGGAACUCCUGGUGUAGCGGUGGAAUGCGCAGAUAUCAGGAAGAACACCGAUGGCGAAGGCAGGUCUCUGGGCUGUAACUGACGCUGAGAAGCGAAAGCAUGGGGAGCGAACAGGAUUAGAUACCCUGGUAGUCCAUGCCGUAAACGUUGGGCACUAGGUGUGGGGGACAUUCCACGUUUUCCGCGCCGUAGCUAACGCAUUAAGUGCCCCGCCUGGGGAGUACGGCCGCAAGGCUAAAACUCAAAGAAAUUGACGGGGGCCCGCACAAGCGGCGGAGCAUGCGGAUUAAUUCGAUGCAACGCGAAGAACCUUACCAAGGCUUGACAUAUACUGGACCGCAUCAGAGAUGGUGUUUCCCUUCGGGGCUGGUAUACAGGUGGUGCAUGGUCGUCGUCAGCUCGUGUCGUGAGAUGUUGGGUUAAGUCCCGCAACGAGCGCAACCCUCGUUCUAUGUUGCCAGCACGUUAUGGUGGGGACUCAUAGGAGACUGCCGGGGUCAACUCGGAGGAAGGUGGGGAUGACGUCAAAUCAUCAUGCCCCUUAUGUCUUGGGCUUCACGCAUGCUACAAUGGCCGGUACAGAGGGUUGCGAUACUGUGAGGUGGAGCUAAUCCCUAAAAGCCGGUCUCAGUUCGGAUUGGGGUCUGCAACUCGACCCCAUGAAGUCGGAGUCGCUAGUAAUCGCAGAUCAGCAACGCUGCGGUGAAUACGUUCCCGGGCCU
rnacentral:rRNA from 1 species